UCUCCGUAGGUGAACCUGCGGAGGGAUCAUUACCGAGUACUCGCCCUCACGGGUCGUUCUCACACCCACUGUUAUCGUUACUGUCGUUUCUUUGGCCGGCCGCCGGUUCCCCGGCGGCCGGCGCCUAGCUGGCGGCGCGCGCCUGCCAGAUGCCUUCAAACUAUGAAUGGUAGUGUCGUAUGAGUACUAUAUAAUAGUUAAAACUUUCAACAACGGAUCUCUUGGUUCUG
rnacentral:misc_RNA from 1 species